GAUGAACGCUGGCGGCGUGCCUAAUACAUGCAAGUCGAGCGAACAGAUAAGGAGCUUGCUCCUUUGACGUUAGCGGCGGACGGGUGAGUUACACGUGGAUAACCUACCUAUAAGACUGGGAUAACUUCGGGAAACCGGAGCUAAUACCGGAUAACAUAUUGAACCGCAUGGUUCAAUAGUGAAAGGCGGCUUUGCUGUCACUUAUAGAUGGAUCCGCGCCGUAUUAGCUAGUUGGUAAGGUAACGGCUUACCAAGGCAACGAUACGUAGCCGACCUGAGAGAGUGAUCGGCCACACUGGAACUGAGACACGGUCCAGACUCCUACGGGAGGCAGCAGUAGGGAAUCUUCCGCAAUGGGCGAAAGCCUGACGGAGCAACGCCGCGUGAGUGAUGAAGGUCUUCGGAUCGUAAAACUCUGUUAUCAGGGAAGAACAAAUGUGUAAGUAACUGUGCACAUCUUGACGGUACCUGAUCAGAAAGCCACGGCUAACUACGUG
rnacentral:rRNA from 1 species